GCAGAAGUUUGGGAGUCGGAGAGGGACGAAUUCCCGGGGAGCUAAAGUGUGCUGACGAGGAGCCGGAUCCGCUGGAGGAGGCUGGCGUUUCUGCCUCUCGCAGCGGACCCAACUCCGCGGCGGCGGCUGGCGAACUUUUUGUGAGGCUGGCAGCCCCCGAGCGGUGGGAGGGGCGGGCCCGGCGGGGCGGUGGUCGGGGGCGCGCGGAGGGGAGUUGUGGGAGCCGCCGGGGGCGCCCGAGGAGGGCAGCUGCGGCGGGGAGGGGCAGUGGUCCGAAAAGGGGUUUGUGGGAGGGGAGAAGCGUUCAGGUGGGAAGGAGCCGCUUGGUUACAGUUGUGGGGAGAUACAGGUGUUAACUUCGGUGGGAGCCCAAGAGGCGGCUGGCGAGAACAGAGCCCCUCCCGGCCCGGGAUACCACUGUCACGGCACACUGCAAAGCAGAGCGGUUUGCUGCUAUUCUUGUGCACUUGUAACGGUGAUUUGGUUGUUACUAAAAAUGAGAACGAAUAGUGACUGUGACCACUGAGGAAGAACCCCCCUCCUUUUUAUUUUUUUUUAAUUUUUUAAAACUGUGCAACAGAUCGGUGAUUCCCAGUAAGCACUUAAACUCUGAGGGUCAGGGUUAUCCUUGUCAUUGAACGCACCCGUCUUUCUGAGGGGGUUCAGACCAGAGAAAAAGUCUGAGAGCAUCUCUGAAAGGUACUUUGGUUACCUUGCGCACAGAAAUAGCUGCGUAAAUAAAAACCGAAUGCGCAGGCGACUGAGUUUCCCUCCUUGCUUUAGGCAGUCAGUCUCCCCCUGAAAGUUUCGUGUGCCCUGGGGAUGGGAGCAUUUCCUAAUCUUUGUGUUGGCAGCAACACACUCAAUUCCCAUAGGAUUUAGAGGUAUCAGGCCUUGAUGUAGCAAAGCAAAACAAAACAAAAAAUUAGAGAGGCUGGUUUGUUUUUUUUCCAAGAGAUUUUCUGAGCUGCAUUCAGGAUUUUGUUGCUGUGACAAGGAAUGUAUAAAAGACAUAGAGUUAUAGCCUGGUUAAGAAACGGCAGUUAACUAGAAUUGAAGUUUUGAAAUGCUGUCUCAUUUGUGUGCAUUAAUCAUUUUGUUAUAAUGUGCCUGAUAAAAACAUCUGAAGGAGGAUGUUUUAAUGAUUACAGAAUAUUUGAAUUUCACAUUAGUCAGAGUGAAGGAAUGGAAAUAUAUUGAGGCAUAAUCUUAUUUUGGGGGUGACUGAAUUUGAGAAUCAAAAGUAAUUUUAGAUUUUAGGUGAACUCCCAGGAAGGGGUGAACUUUAGCUGAAUCCCACUCAGUAUCCUGAUGACUGUUUAUUAUUUUUUUUUUAGUUUUAGUUUUUUUAGUUUCUCAGAUAAUAACAAGGAAGUUGGAACUUGUGUAACUGUGGUCCUUUCUAACUCUGAUUCUGUGAUUUCCCAUCAGGAAAACAAGUAAUUGCCACUUUGCUGUCAAAUCUACCAAACUGAACACCAAGUAAGAUCUACUCUUGUGAGCAGAUGAGGGUUCUGCUAGAUGGUGCUAUUUGAUUUAAAUAUGUUUCUUCCAUUCAUUUCAGUUGGCAGCAGGAAUUCUUGACUGGUUUGCCUUAUGAACUAAAUAUAGGUGAAGAGGCCGCUUUUGGAGAAUUGACAAUGACUGUUCUGGGUUAAUUGUCGUUGCAUUAAUUUCUAGGUGAAUGUUGUUUGAAUCUAAGACAAACAUCGAUGUAGGUUCUGUCUUAUAGAAUAAACUUAAUUUCAUUUUGGUGGGAGAGUUGAUCUAAUCUCUUGGUUUUUCUCUUUAUGUUUACUUGGACUUUAAUGGCACUAUUCUGCAACAGUGUACUAACGUCUGAAGGUAGGAAUUUUGAAGUCAUUAAAAUGGAUGUCACCAGAUUUUUGUUCUUAAUUUUUAAGGUAACAGAUUUUAAAAGGUGAAGAAUUCACCUUUAGUAAGCAAAUUAGAACUGUUCUUAUCUUGAAAAUCACAGAAAUAAUUUUUUUUCCGUAACAAAUACGCAUUUUAACAAAAACAUUCUGCAAAAGGAGUCAUUAUUAUAAAUAAUGGCAUGCUUAGGAAAUAAGCACAUUGGUUUUAUAAUCUAUCAAGCAAUGUGUUUUCUGACAUGAGUUCACAGUGAAUUGUUGACAAGUGCUUACCUGUAUUAGAUCUUUGUUUUGUCUUUCAUUAGGAAGUCACUAUAUGAAAUACUUGAAGUGAAUUCUUGGUUUGACAUAAUUCCUAUAAUUUCAGUAUACAGUUCUGAACAUAAAAAUGACCAGGGUAAGAUGAGUUACUUACUCUGUCAUUUUAAGAAAAGCAGAUCAAGUCUUAAUUAUAGAGGGAGUGAUUGAAAACCGUUGGAGGGAGGUGGGAUGUAGAAAUUGUAAUUCUGCUCUUGUUAGGUCAUUUCUUCCUUUAGCAGGCUUUAUAACACUAAUCGCAGUUGUAAUUAAAUAACUAUGGUUGGCUGUUAAUGUCUAACUUUCCCUAAAAUAUAAGUUUCUUGAAGGUAGGAGAUGAUCUAAUUUCUUAUCUGAGGUAUCUUGAACAUUAAGGUGCCUUCUAAUAUCAAAAGCAUCAAUAAUUGUUAUUGAAGAUGUUAGACUCAAAGGAAUUUUUUCAGUGACCUCCAAAAUAAAGACUUGUAAGUUUGAGUUUCACAUUCUCUAGCUUAGUUGUAUUUCAGAAAUACCCCUAAACAACAACACAACAAAAAUAACUAUUAUAUAUAUGCCAUCCUGUGUGCCAGUCACUAUGUUCAGUGUUUUAUGUAUAUAUUUUUUUCUAAUUCUCCCAACAAAUCUACAGGACGGGUGCUUUUAUUUUUUCUCCAUUAAAGAAAUAUGAAAACGAAGGCCCUAAAUGGUUAAAGAACUCACCGAGGGAUACCAUGCUAGAAAAUAGGAAAGCUGGGUUUCUAACACAGAUUUCUCUAACUUUAGAACCUGUGGUUGAAGCUGAAAGAUACAUUUUUCAGUGUACCAGAUUGUCUUCCUGAACUAGGGUAGGAUGCUACAGAUUUAGGGAACGGCAUUACAUAAUCAGAUGUAACAGACUUUAAAGAUUUGAUCAAAUAUGCAAUCUUAACCACUGGUGCACCCUGAUGCUUUGCAGAUAUGUGUAUGGUGUGGGAGAAGGCACAGAAAUUUUAGGAGUGAAAAUUGGAAGCCUAACAUAAUGAAGAAAACUUGUUUCUUCAGAUUCUCCCCCCCCGGAAUUUGGUUUGAUUACUUGUUUUAAAGUUAAACAUAAUAGUUGUGAAUAAUUCCUAUAUGAAAUGUUGCUAAACUUAAAGCCACCCAGUAUGCCACACUGCAGAAAGAGUAACUGGCACCUGCAAAUAGAUGAGUAGUGAUACUAAUUUUUUUUAUUAAACUAAUUUGAUUCUUUAUGUAAUAGCACAGAAAGACGAAUCUGCUAGAAAGCAAAGUUGGACAUAGAAGAUACACAUAGUAUGCGUCGACUUUUAUUUAGUAAACUAGCCAGAAACUACAAGAAUCAAACUAUCUAAUCUUGAGCUCUGAAAAGUAACUUCAGCUUUUAAAUUUUCAAUCUUACUUGAAUAUACGAAGAAGCAAAUACCAUAUGCUUAUUUCAAAGUAGUUAUAGUGUAAUGAACAUUUAAAUGCCACUUCAUAUAAAAGAGUUUAUAGGGAUUAAUAUCUGCCAGCAUCACCUUGUUCUCCCCUUCUACCAUUAAAGUAAUUAAAGCAUUCCCCCAUCAUUAAGGUACCCACUGCAAAGAAAAAUGACAAACCUUUCUUCCUUUCUGAAGGAAUAAGGCGAGAAAAGUAAUAGAGAUCUUUUCAGAAACUUAUUUGACAGCAACUGGCUCAAUUCAGGGUUUCCAAAACUAAUGAAGGAGUAUCUUAUGGAAAUGAAAUUUUGUAUAAAAUAUUAAAUUGCCCCUCCCCCUUUCAGUCUCCAGGAUGUUCCCCCAAAAUACAAGUUGUUUAACUUGUAUCCGAAAUGUCAUAUUAGCUUUUGAUUGAUCGUUCUCUGUUAUUUUAGAAGUAUCAAAAAAAACCCCUAUUUUUAAGGAAGGUAUCUAAAGAAAGAAUCUGUGUAAGAUGUUCAGUUAAGUUUUAGUAUUGUUUAUCCAGAGAUUAAUUGUGAUUCUUAGUAGUAGUAGUAAUAUUGUAAUUUUUUUUCAGAGCUGUGAAAGAAAAAAGUUGAAAGUUUUUAGUUUCAUACUUUCAAAGCCAGUUUGCCACAUAAAACCAAUUUAGGAUGCAGACAGAAUCACUACAUUUUAGUUGUUCUGCAGUAAUAGACCAAAUAUGCCUUUCAUCUUUAAUCACUACUAGAAUUAUUUUGUUUUAAAAUUAGAGCAUACUGUGUGGGGCAGGGGCUGGAAUACCCAGGUUGCAGUUUAUUAAUGUUUAUUAAUAUUUCACCUCAGUAGUUGAGAGUUAAAAGAAAAAUUUGGGGAAAAAACAAUUCAAAUUUAGAAUCUUCUUUCUUCCAUAGAAAUCGCAACCAUUGCAUUAAUCCUGGGACAUAGGAUUAGGACAAAAGUACUGAGUUUGAAAGACAUGGAACUACUGGGAAUAUGUAAUUUAAAAAUAGGAAUUCAAAAUUAUUUUGGAACACAUGAGGUUAUUCUCUAUUGUUGUGUGUAUGUUAUUGCUUUGCCAUUGGUAUGGGAAUUACAGAUUAUAUAUUUGCAUGCUAGUGACGUGAGCCUCUGUAAACAUAUGCUAAAAUAUUAAUAUUAAGAACUUACUGUUUCUGAAAGGGUGGACUUAAAAUAGCAUUGGAGCAAUAGAAUAAGAUUCAUUUGUUAAUAUCUGAAGCAUUUGGAAUAUAAGUAAUAUUCUGAUUUUAAAUGUUAUCAAACUUUAUGUGUAUUUUACAAAUGUAAUGUAUUCAUGCAAGGUUUUGUUAACAUGAGUGUAUAACCUAGCAUAACUUGGACUGUGAGAGUUACUUGACUAUUAGAUUAAAACCCUAUACAUACUACAAAAGGUGAUCUGAAGGGUGGUCCACCAAGAUUAAUGCCUUGCCUGUUUUCAGUAGAGAAAUAGCAGAGGCUCUUUUACAAACUAUAUUUUAUUCCUUGUGUGAGAACAUUAAAAAACACGUGGAAAUAUGGACUACCCAGGGAAGAAUAGAGUUUUUCCAGAUAACUUUAACAUUUCUGAUUGGUCAUAAUUGGUAAACGGUAAUUUUUGUCAUGUAGGUUAAUAGUUAGGAAUUUUUGAAAAGUGGAAGUAUUAAUGUUUUUCUAAUAAUUAUAGGACCAAAAAUUCAUCUGAACUCAAAUCAGCCUGGGCAGUCUCAAUGUAGUGGAGUAAUUAAUAUUUAUUGUUUUGUUCAUUUUUUAAAGACAAACUUCAGUCGGUGUCACUUCUUUAGAAAUGACAAAACUACUCUCAUCUUUUCCUUUAAGAAUGUUAAUUACAUUUCAUGUAUGACCCUAAACAGCUUUCAGACAAUAAUGAGCCAUUGUUAACAUUUUAAAUCACAGUUCAGCUAGAGUGAGCAUAAACGAAUGACCUGGCAAUCUCCUAUUUUUGAUCUUUUCUGUUAAUUUUGCUUCAUGGCUAUAAUGUCAAACAAGUAGUUCAGCCCAGAAAAAAAAUUGUAGAGGCUAAAAUAUAGACUUUUGUGUUUUUUUCUAGUUUUAAGUAUUUUUGUAAUUGUAGGUGUUAAAGAGUAUGGUUGUAAUUACAAAUAUAGCUUUAUUUUUAAUUAGUUUUGAAUCUACAGCAUAUUAAAAUACUGAUGAAAUAUUUGUAAAGGCAAGAAUAAUAGAUGAAAAUAUAUGUGGCUCUGUCCAUGUAAGGUGAGGAGGAAUUGAUGCCAGAAAAAGGCUCUUACCUGAAAUUAAUAUGAUUUAUUUUAGUGAUCUGAUAUUUGCCUGAUUCUCCUUUUAUCUAUUUUAGAUAAGAAAAAACCAAGAGCUGCUUUAUUAAUGGAAGAAAUCUAAGUAAAUAUUCUAUUAAAAAUGAUCUCAUUUUAAGUAGGAUUAAACUUCAAUUUGGAGUGCUGGAUUAGGGGUAGGGAAAGGUAAGGUUUUUUUUGCUUUUAUACCUCUCUCUAACAAGGGAGGAAAAGUCUUUCAGUAUGAAUUGUUGAGAGAAUGUUCUUUUUCUUUUUUAAUGUGGUAAAAUAUAUGUAACCUAAAAUUUACCAUUUUAACGAUUUUUAGGUGUACAGUUCGGUGGCAUUAAGUGCAUUCAUAUUACGGUACAGCCAUUGCCAUUCUCCAUCUCUAGAACUUUUUCAUGUUUCCGGACUGAAACUCUGCACCCAUUAAACAAUCACUCCCCACUCUCGCCUUCUCUGUGCCCUUGACAACUACCAUUCUAUUUUCUGUCUCCAAGAAUUUGACUCGUCAAGGUAUCUCAUAUAAGUGGGAUCAUACAGUAUUUGUCUUUUUGUGGCUGGCUGCUUUUGAUAGCUUAAUCCCUAUAGCAACUUCGUAAAGUAGAUAUAAUCCCCAUUUUACAUAUGGAGAAACUGAGUCUCAGAGGUUGUGUAUUUUGUCCAGGGCCACAGAGUAAAUUGUAUAGUCUGGAUUCAAACUCAGGUUUCUGACUGCACUGCUCAUUUUAACUAUGUUGACUCAGUAUAUUUCAUCGCUUAACAUGGGGGAGAAAUUGUAAUGGAAGUUGUGGGAGGUGGCCUGAAGGUGCUAUGGGAUUCCUGAAAAAAGGCAUUGAAUCUAGCCUAGGGCUGUGAGACUGUCAGGAAAUAUUUCUAAGAGGAUGUUUAUUGAGAGGCUAGCAUUAGUCAACUUGGAAGAUGAGGCAAGUAAAGGGUAUUCUAGCCAGAGAGAGAAGCAUGUACAGCAACAUGAAGGCAUUAAAAGGUAUGAUAUAUUUGGUGAACUACAAUAAAGCUCAUAGGGAUAAAUCUGGCAGAUUGAAUACGAGCUAUUUCAAGAACAGCCUUAAAUGACAACUUGACUUGGGAGAUAAGCAUAUUUUUGUUUUUGUUUUUGUUUUUUGGAGACGGCGUCUCACUCUUGUCACCAGGCUGGAGUGCAAUGGUGUGAUCUCGGUUCACCGAAACCUCCACCUCCUGGGUUCAAGC